rnacentral:rRNA from 1 species
GACGAACCGUGCGAACGUUAUUCGGAAUCAUUGGGCGUAAAGCGCGUGUAGGCGGUUCCGUAAGUCCGCUCUGAAAGCCCAGGGCUCAACCCUGGGAGGCGGGUGGAUACUACGGAACUGGAGUACGGAAGAGGAGAUUGGAAUUCCUGGUGUAGCGGUGAAAUGCGCAGAUAUCAGGAGGAACACCAACAGCGAAGGCAGAUCUCUGGGACGUUACUGACGCUGAGACGCGAAAGCGUGGGGAGCAAACAGG